rnacentral:rRNA from 1 species
UCAGGAUGAACGCUGGCGGUAUGCUUAACACAUGCAAGUCGAACGGGCUCUUCGGAGCUAGUGGCGGACGGGUGAGUAACGCGUGAGAAUCUGGCUUCAGGUUCGGGACAACAGUUGGAAACGGCUGCUAAUACCGGAUGUGCCCUUGGGUGAAAGAUUUAUCACCUGAAGAUGAGCUCGCGUCUGAUUAGCUAGUAGGUGUGGUAAGAGCGCACCUAGGCGACGAUCAGUAGCUGGUCUGAGAGGAUGACCAGCCACACUGGGACUGAGACACGGCCCAGACUCCUACGGGAGGCAGCAGUGGGGAAUUUUCCGCAAUGGGCGAAAGCCUGACGGAGCAAUACCGCGUGAGGGGGGAAGGCUCUUGGGUUGUAAACCUCUUUUCUCAGGGAAGAAGUUCUGACGGUACCUGAGGAAUCAGCAUCGGCUAACUCCGUGCCAGCAGCCGCGGUAAUACGGAGGAUGCAAGCGUUAUCCGGAAUGAUUGGGCGUAAAGCGUCCGCAGGUGGCAAUGUAAGUCUGCUGUCAAAGCGUCUGGCUCAACCAGAUAAAGGCAGUGGAAACUACAUAGCUAGAGUAAGGUAGGGGUAGAGGGAAUUCCUG